UUCCAGGUGAACAAGAGGGAACAAGUUUCUGGAUGAGAGGGAAAAGCCAGGGCAAGGAUUUGGAAGGAUGACACACCCACUGACCCAUAGGUCAGUCUACAUGAAUGGAUUUGCAGAUUAUGUUCUGAGAGCAACCUUUGAAAGGAGAAGGCUGCAUGGUCAUGCAGAGGCAAUACAAGAAGCAGACACAGAGGGAGACACAAAGGGAGGAGAAGGAGUUGGGACAAAAGGCUGGGAGGGAAAGCUGAUGGCCAAUUGUGUCCACACCACGACCUCCCUUCAGGCAACAUUAUUUGGUAAAUCUCUGCACACAGAAUAAGAUGAGAACUUCUGUUCCCCCAGGGAAUAUGCUGUUUGCUCAGGCCCAGUAACUUAAGUGGCUAUUUGCUCUGCUGGCUUAGGCCUCUGGUUCAUUUGCUAGAACAACGAUAGCAGUGGCAGAAAACUCAUUUUUCUGAGAAGUUUGGUCCAAGUGAGUGCUGUUCCACAGAUACAACUUUUCAAUCUUGCUAUCUUGCCACCAUUUUCACUCCUGGAUAUUUAUUUCAUAUUUAUUUUCACUCCUGGAUAUUUUCAACACACAUGUGUCCUGUGAGCAAGCUAACAUGCGCGACUCUAUUUUAAAUUUCUAAUGUGUGCCUCCAUGCACAAUUUUAGUCUUUCAGCUAGGCUCACUAUUUCUGUUGACAUCCAAUUGUAUCUCUGACUUAGUCUGAAGAAAUUAAGCAUAUCUCUUUCAUCUCAAUGCAAACAAUGGUUUGUAUUCUCUUUCACAUGACUUGAAAAUUCUGUACACCAAAAGGCUCGCUGGGCUUUUGUAAAAGCAAUGCACAAUGAUUGUUUUGAAAGAAUAAGCCUUUCUGAAAAUUCCUACAGAGUAUGCUAAGGCUACAAAGUUCAAAGGAAUUUGGUCAGAUUCAAUGGAAUAGCCUCUUGGUUCAAGUGAAGGACUUGGAGGGAGGAAUAAAACAAAUCCACCUUCUUUUUAAAUAGAAAUGAAAAGAGAGCUAAGCAGAAACGUCAACAGGAAGGAAGCUGAAAUACAAUAAAUGGGAGUGGCCACUGCUGAACACAAGUUAGAGAAACAUUUUAAUAAAACACACAAGGCUAAUUUCAGUCACUCAGAUACUUCACAUCAGAUCAGGGAAAAUAAAGAUCUAAGUCUUUACCGCUAAUUCUUAGGAAAUGAAGAUCCCAUCCCAUGAAAAAAAAAAAAUUGGUAUAGAAAAUUUCCACUGUUUUUCUUCUCAUUCUUUGAAUCAAUUCCUGAUGAUUUUGACAGCAGUUUAAAAAAAUGUUAAUUCCAUGCUCUCAAUGGAAACUUUUCCAAAACAGUAUUCAAAAUAUCUGAAGUAGUUACGAAAAUAAAAAUAAAACCCCCAACCAAGCAAACAGCAAUAACAAUACUGCUGUAAUUAAUCAGCACAAAAGGCUUCCCCAUGCCCAGAAGUCCUGGCAGGGAUGUGGGUUGCUGCUCAUGAGAGUGACACCUAUGUGAUGACAGCUGUGACUUGCAGGGUGUCUGAGACUCCAAAUACAAAACCAAACAGGAGUCCUCGGGAAAUUCUCCCUUUUGCUCACUCUGUGUAUAUUCAAACACAAACUAUUUUCAAAAAAUUCCCUAAAACCCCUCUGAGUGGGAUGGAAGGGACUAGGCAAGCAUAUUGCACUGUAAUUAACACCCGUUCACCACUGACAUCACACGUCAGUGUAAAGAUAGGUCACGUACUUUUAAUUUCUCACACGCACGUCAGCGGUAAACAGUCCCAGUGUUCGUGUUAAUGACACCAUCUGGCGCCUCCCAUAACUGUGUAGCAUUCAGCUUCCAAACAAGAUGUAAUGGCAGCAACACAUGAAACCCACUGACAUUUACAGUAAGGAAAUUUAUUAUCAGUCAUCGGUUUGGUAUAAAUGUGUUUGCAUGACUGCUGGGGCUAUAAAAUCGUCACCUUUGCCAGGCAAGCAAAGGUGCAAUAAAUAAUGGAUUUUAAGCCAUGCAUGUACUACCAAAUCAUUAAACAUUUAUCAAACAGGCACAAUAGCAUCUUAAGCAACAGUUACCACUUGAAAAAUUAAUGCCACUUUUGAGGGUUAAAUGAAAACCAUAUAGUCUAAGCCUUAAUGAUUUUUAAUGUGGUUCAGUACAGAAUAUGAAGUUUUUUUAUUUUUAUUUUUAGUUGAAUAUGAUAUAUAUAUAUAUAAAUAGGUCUUCUAUAAUAAUUUCCUCUUGAGGAAGAAUCACUCUAUGUUCUUUGGUUAAAUACUAAAAAAUACAAUUGAAAUGUUUCUUGAAAAAGAAAUCAUGGUUAAAACCUUUCAAAACUAGAAAUGGCAAACAAAAGGGUCUUUAGGAGUCACGUGGUAUUAUUUUCUUUAAAAUCCUUAAUGGAUUAGUCAGUGAUGAUUGCAAUUAAACUAUUUUAACUUUGGAUUUAAGGAAACAUAAAGUCAAAACCAACAAAAUCCCCUGAGUAUCCCAGCCAUGUUUGUCCCUACUACUUAUUCCUUCCAAAUACUCUCCCCAUGGCAUGCCAGUGAUUUCUCCAAUAUGCUUGUUCUAUGGGUAUCCGUUGUUUUAAGAACAAAAUCCUUAGCAAUAACAAUUCAAAAUACAGAUAGAUUAGAGGAAGGUUUCGUGGAGGAUUAGAGGAAGGCUUUAUGGAGGACUUAUCAAAGAAUAAUUUUUGACUCAAAGAAACAAAGAGAAACCUGCGUGGGAACUAAUUAUUUAUUUGCUUGCUGGACAUGGAACAAUGAAGGCAGAGAAGCCAGUGGCUGCUUUGACAUGAGGCUUCCCGUGUGGGAGGUGAACCAGAAGCCAAGCCUGGACGGAGACUGUGCCAUCAAGAGGCUCUGUCACGAGAUGCCAAGAUGAGCACGCGUCUCCAAAACAACACAAUCUCAACAUGCAAAAUGAUCACCAAGCAAGAGGAAACAGAGUGAGCCCUAGAGUAAGUGAGUGGCACUGUUUGAAGAAAAAAAAGUUAAGAAGUGACUGAAUAAGAGAUUUCUCUGUCAGUGUCUGAGUGGGGUUUAAUUCCUUGGUGAGAGCUAUUGCUUAGAAAGCCCCUGUAGUUUUAUGAGUCUGCUCCCUGUGGAUGCUUCUCUCUCUCCACUCUCCUUCUGCCUGCCCUGCGCCCUAAACAGGAAGCAGGUGCAGCGCUCUGCAGGCAAGAUCCCUGUUGGGACAGAGGGCAGGAUGUCUGCAGAAUACUGAGGAGGCCAGGAGGGGAGCCCUGCUCCCAAAUUUUCCAUCAGUGGAAAGAAGUGUUGAGAUUUUAGGCCUUCAUCUCUAAUAGUGACUGCUGUUUACAGCGGUCCAGGGGGCUGUGAGUCUUCUUUGUGUGACUUGGGGUUGAAAUUCAAGGUUUUGUCAAGACCAUGCAUCUUCAGGGAUGGCUUCCUCCAUUGUUGGGGAGAAUCCCUGUGGACAGUGUUCAUCUUUGGAGAACUGAAUUUAGGACUCAACAGAAGGGCUUGGGGUGGGGGGUCACAGAAACUAAGAGAUCACUGCGAUGCCCCUCCCUGAAUACAUACGUAUUGCUCGUUCCAAGUCAUGGAGGGAGAAUUUUGGAGCCUGGCCUGGUCAGACUGAGGAGGGGGUGACCAUUCUCCUGCCAUUUCUGUUUGCAGGGUGAGGAAGUUGCCUGAAUUCCAUCUGUGUGCCCACAUACACAAAGCUCUGUUACACAAAGGAGCUACUCCAGCGACUAACUUAAGUGGGAUUAUGUGGAAACGAACACAAUCCACUGGGAUGGUGGUACUGUUAUGGAACAACACAGAUUGCCUGAGCCUGGAUAUCAAAACAAAAGCACCGAGUAUGGGAAUUUUUCUCAAACAGCUUCUCUGUCCAGUAUCCUGAGAGGGCCCCACACUGCCCUGUCCUUCCAUCUGUCACUAAUUAAUUCAAAUAUUUCCUAGGGUUCUAGCUGCUACCUUACAUCUUCUGGAAGUGACUAUCAGGGCCCUCACAGAGGUAAAGAAUCAAUGAAUAACUCCAAGAAGCCUUUGCUCAUUUCUUUCAAAGUUGUGUCGCUUCCAUAAUACCUGAUGAAACACUCUGCCUUCAUAUGAGGGGGCGGGGAGGGGGUGGAGAGAGAGAGAGAGAGAGAUUGCACACCAUGGCGAAAACAGCUCUCCUGAAGGGUGUGAAAAAACAGUUAACAACGAAGGGGAGAGAAACAAAAAGCUAUUCAACAGAUGCAUGUCAUUUUUACUCUUCAGUGUGGAUCAGUUUUUCUUGUUAAUUAUAUCACCUAUUCUUUCCUUAUAUUGAUAAUUACAUAAUUACAUGAAACAGAUGGGUGACAGAAUGCACCCAGAUGGUGAGAACGUAAACAGGCUUACAAAUUGCUUAUUCUUGAGCAUAUUAAAAAGAAUUAUUUAAUAAUACAUAGAUUUCUAUACUCUACACAUCUGUUGAGUAGAGCCUUCAAAAUGGGUUACUUUGUCAUUUUUUUUUUUUUCUUAAACAGAUACAGUGUCCUCCCUGGGAAUUCCUGGGAGGCCAACUGCCAUGGAGGUAAAAUAUUUCACCUUUUCCAAAAUUUGGAUUCCUGAAAUUCUAAAUUCAUGUUCUGAGCCCACUGGCUUGCUUUUCCCCUCCCGUUUUGAGAAAUAGCAACGGUGGUUUCAAGGGGAGUUACAAUCACAUGUAGCACUGGUUAUACUUUCACAAGCUGGACAAGGUUAAAAAUGGGAGGGUUUGCCUUGAGAACAUAUUUGACAUGUUUUAAUUGCAUCUGAUGGGCUUCUUGCAUGAAAUUCUUUCAAAAUAAUUAUGAAACUAAGUCAAAAGCACCAAAGCUGCACGGGCUGAGUGUGUGUGGAGGCGUGUCUUUCAGAGGAGGGGCUCACAGGCAGCAGAGCCUUCUGGAGGGUCUGAGGGAAGAAGUGGCAUUAGCUGCUUCCUUGUGGCCCACAUGCCACCUCUGUGUUCUAUGGAGUCAGGGCUCUGCUUAAAUGAUCCUGAUCAGAGGAGUUGUACCUGCCCUGUUCCCACCCUCCCCUCCCGGGCUCUCCUCCUGAUGGCACUUGCUGCCACCGGACACGGUGCCUCCUGGUCUGUUUGUGUACUGUCUGCUGCUCCAACUAGAACACAAGUGCUAUGUGGCAGGGAUGUGCCUAUUUAUGGCUGUCCCCACAGAGCACAGAGCUGGGCCCACCACAUGAUCAGUACACAACAAUACUGACUGAAUGAAUGACAUCAAUUAACUCUCCACCACCAAGCCUCCUAACCAGCGAAGCAGAACAGGCCCUGUGCUUGCGGUUUCAACAGAAAAGCCUAUCCAGGCAGGAGCAGGGAGUGACCAACAAGGGGACUUCUCAGUGGCAGGUGGGGGUGGAGGAUAGCAGGGGUUCCUCUCUCAGUUGAAAAGCAGGUACAAAAGCCAUGGUGUUUAUCGGGCUCAUGGACAAAAAGCAGGACACCUAGAAACAUGGUUUGGUGGGGGUAGAGAAACAGGCUCAGGGAGAGACAAACCCACCUGGCUUCUGGUGCACACCUGGCUCUUGGUGAGGCAGGGGUGGGUCACAGAACUCCAGAAUCAGGCUGUUGUCUCCCACCGCACCAGGAAGUGACGACAUGUAGACGUGCUUGGAAUUGGAAGUUUAAGCACUUCCCCGGGGCCAAACUUGGAUGAGGAUUGUGUGUACUCUGUGUGUAUGUAUUUACGUAUGCCUGGUGUGUGUGUGAGAGAGAUGGCUGGAGGGAGAGAGGGACAGAGAGAGAGAGUCAUGAGAAGCAUCUGAGUCCUCAGGGGCCUGGAGAUCGUUUUGGAAUUUGGGCUCUGUGAACUAUGGCCGCCUUCCGCUCUUGAAUGGGGUGGUGGAAGUACUGAGCUGUUAGAAGUCACAUGGUCUGAAAGGGGCCUGCCAGCCUCGGUCCUACCAACACACGGUGACCAAAGACCCAGUGUGUGGGGAUCGAUGUUGUCUGCAAACAAAUCAAAAGACUUGUGAUAUAUAAUUCUAUGGGACAUUGUCAGCCCAUCUUUGGGACCUGCUCAACUGUGAUUUGUGACAGAUAAUACUCAAAUCCAUUUUUUAAAUCAACCGUCAACUCCAGUUUCAUGAAAAGUGCUGUCCCCACAGAUCCGUGAAGGGCGGUGGGAGGGGUGGUUUGCAUGAGAGAGGAGCUCUGCUAAGGUGACUGGAAAGUGCUGCCUGAGACCUGUUCCCUGGAAGCACAGCUCUUUUUGGUUAAAUACAUAAACUACCAUAAAAACCACAAUUACAGUGACUACCAUGGUGAUAAUUUCAAUGCACUGAAUUAUAUGAAAAAAUAAAACAAACAAAACCUGGGACACAAUUGAACAGCACAAGAAGUAGGAAUGUGGCACAGUCUGUAAUUUAUGUUUAUUGCCAUGGGUUUCGACGGACCAAAUGGCUCAUGCCUGCCUGCACUGUAGCUGAGUCAUGUUUGAUAUCUCAAAGUGGCAGUAAAAAAAAUCUUUAUGGCUCCCAUGCUAUUUUCAUACCUUAUUUAUUCUGUUUUUUUCCCCUGUUUUUAAGUCAUCUUUUGUAUUUUCUUCUUGCUUAUUAAGUUGGUUACUAUGGAGAUCAUGACAUCAGUCAUCUUGACUAAGCUUAAUGGUCUUGAGGCAACAUUCAGACUAAAAGUUUUGAUACUUAAAGUGGCUCAACCCUGGAGAAUGAGAGCAGAUUGAGAACUGAGGACUGUGGGCUUCAAGCUGCUUCUCUAAUGGAACACAGAGGUGAAAGGCAGUCCCUGCCCACUCGACCAAGGCCACGUGGGGCAGCCCUUUGGGAGGACCGCGCCCCCGGCUAACCAGGCAGAUAACGGGUUGCAAGAAGGUUUUUUGAGUCUGAAAAGCCUGACUGUUAUGCAUCAAAAGUCAAAGUUGAUGCUUCCAAUGACAGAUGCAGAAGAACACAUGGGGACAGCGAGCCCACUGUCUGAGGACCAGGAGGAGGAAAGCCAGAGGGGAAGAAGGAGAAAUCAGUGCAGCGCAGCCCUCUCCUUCCUCUGGCUAAGGCCAGGAAAGUGGAAGGAAGGGGGCAGGAUCCCUACAAAGAUUUUGGAGAAUACAGGAAGGAGACUGCCUCACAAGGGAGACUCUACUGCCACCUUGUCCUGGGAAGAGUCCAGUGGAGAUGGCUGAGGGAACUUCCUGGAUGAGGAAGGAAAUGAGGCAGCAAUGAGCUUCUGAAAGCCCAAAGCAAGGAAAGCGGAGAGGAAGAGAGCACGUAGCUCCAGGGAACACAAGGCCACACUCAGACUGGCCUCAAGGCUGUGAGGAUGGGAUUCUUCUGCAGCAAGCAGUGAGGGCUGCGGGGGCCUGGAUGCCAGGACAAGGGGUGACUUUGCCUGAGGACAAAAGCUGAUGUUCUGAACUCAGGAUUCCUGUGAGGACAGGCACUACCCAAGCAGCAGGUACCUCCCCUCCCAGCCUCCUCCCCGCCUGCCACGAUGCCAUGACAUUCCAUGUCCAUGAGCUCCUGAGAACUUGGAUGUCUUUCCUACCUGCCUAAAAACAUGAAAGAAGAAAUCUCCCAAAUGGACUCAAUGUAAACAUUAAAUGAUUAAAUUUACCCAGAAUUGAUGGAGGUUACUUUUACUCCCAUCAGGUGGAAUAAAGGCUCAAAGCAGAGACUCAGCUCAAUUAGAAAAAAAUAGGAAAAUAAAAGAUGUAUCCUUUUGCACACCUGGUUACUUGUCUUAAAAAUCUGUAUCUGACAUAAAAAAGAGGGUUUGUUGUAUAUCUCUGUACUCUGUAUGUUGCUUAGAUAAAGCAACAUAUUGCCAAGAGAAAUCAUCUUUUUCAAUUCAGGAAUCACAAGUUUUCAUUUUCAAAUUCUAAAACUUUAUGCUUUUUGAUUAAAGAGAUAGUAACUUUACCUUUGACUGAGCAAUACCAUUUCCAGGAAUUUGUUCAAAGGAAAUCAAAACAAAUGUGCUGAAAAAUAAUAAG
rnacentral:lncRNA from 10 species